rnacentral:rRNA from 1 species
UCCUACGGGAGGCAGCAGUGGGGAAUAUUGCACAAUGGGCGCAAGCCUGAUGCAGCAACGCCGCGUGAGGGACGAAGGCCUUCGGGUUGUAAACCUCUUUUAGUAGGGAAGAAGCGACUGGGUUUUCCUGGGAGUGACGGUACCUGCAGAAAAAGCACCGGCUAACUACGUGCCAGCAGCCGCGGUAAUACGUAGGGUGCAAGCGUUGUCCGGAAUUAUUGGGCGUAAAGAGCUCGUAGGCGGUUUGUCGCGUCUGCUGUGAAAACCCGAGGCUCAACCUCGGGCCUGCAGUGGGUACGGGCAGACUAGAGUGCGGUAGGGGAGAUUGGAAUUCCUGGUGUAGCGGUGGAAUGCGCAGAUAUCAGGAGGAACACCAAUGGCGAAGGCAGAUCUCUGGGCCGUAACUGACGCUGAGGAGCGAAAGCAUGGGGAGCGAACAGGAUUAGAUACCCUGGUAGUCCAUGCCGUAAACGUUGGGAACUAGAUGUGGGGACCAUUCCACGGUCUCCGUGUCGCAGCUAACGCAUUAAGUUCCCCGCCUGGGGAGUACGGCCGCAAGGCUAAAACUCAAAGGAAUUGACGGGGGCCCGCACAAGCGGCGGAGCAUGCGGAUUAAUUCGAUGCAAACGCGAAGAACCUUACCAAGGCUUGACAUAUACCGGAAACGGCUGGAAACAGUCGCCCCCGCAAGGUCGGUAUACAGGUGGUGCAUGGUUGUCGUCAGCUCGUGUCGUGAGAUGUUGGGUUGAGUCCCGCAACGAGCGCAACCCUCGUCCUAUGUUGCCAGCACGUAAUGGUGGGAACUCAUGGGAUACUGCCGGGGUCAACUCGGAGGAAGGUGGGGAUGACGUCAAAUCAUCAUGCCCCUUAUGUCUUGGGCUUCACGCAUGCUACAAUGGCCGGUACAAAGGGCUGCGAUACCGCAAGGUGGAGCGAAUCCCAAAAAGCCGGUCUCAGUUCGGAUUGUGGUCUGCAACUCGACCUCAUGAAGUCGGAGUCGCUAGUAAUCGCAGAUCAGCAACGCUGCGGUGAAUACGUUCCCGGGCCUUGACACACCGCC